CUCUCUGCUCCUCCGGUCUCUUUCUCACAGCGUUUUCAGCUUUGGUGAGCGCUGCAUAUCUGACAUUACUGUCUCCAGCUCCAAGCAGCUCCGCUCUCAUCUGCAAGCUAAAGAGAGACGGCGGAACCAGAGGACAAGAGGAAGCGCAGCGUGCCGUUCGCAGCUCCAUCCAGCAUCACCGGGCGCAGCAGCCUGGCUGAACCGCCUCAGCCCCCAAUCCGCAGAGACCCGCAGCCGCACCGCCCCGCCGCCCUCAUGGAGCGCGUCCAGCACAUGACCAAGUCGGCCAUCCGUCGAGCGUCUCAGAUCGAGGUGAACCCCCAGGCCAAGAGGAACCUGCAGGAGCUCUUUGUCAACUUCACGCUCAUCCUCAUCUGCCUGCUUCUCAUUUACAUCAUCGUCCUGCUGAGCAGCUGAAGGGACAUAUGCCGAGUCCGCCGGAGCUCAAGAGCCGGAAAACGGAGCUUUUCUGACAAAGAUCAGAUUUAUUUUUUUUUAAAUUAGUCAUUAUAUUUUUGCUUCUUUUAUUUAAUCCAAAGCAACCCGACUGCAACAGUUCAACUACUUUCAUCCAGUAUGUCUGUAUGCACCGCAUUAUUCUGAUUACACUGUUCAAAAGCAAUAUUAAACACCGUGCACAUGCAAUGGAAAACAACAAUAUAUCUCUGAGGUGUACUUCCUGUUGCCACCGUCACAGGCAUGAACUUUUGUCUUUAGGUUUGCAUUGACUGAGACAUAACCUUCACAGCUAAAAAGAACAACCCUACACCAAGCGGUGUCCUUUAACGCUCCAGUCUAGUGCAUAUGCCCUUAAGCUUCCUUAAAACUCCCAGAAGUCUACUUCUGGUUGAAAUAUUUAUAUCACAUUUUACUUUUAAAGGCCAGAAUAUUUAUUUAAAUCUGCAGUUUUUAUUUGAAAAAAAAAAAAAUACUGAAAUAAUUUCCAUGAAAUACAUUGCAAUGAACAUGGGUCAAUGACUGGCAGCAACAUUGGUGUUGAUGCCCCCAGUGCCAGUUUGAAAGUAAACUGAGAUCUAUAAAACAAAUAGAGAAAUUUAUAAAAAAAUUAUUUUCCCAAAAACUGCAGUACAUUUUUAUAUAUAUUAUGCUUUAUAGGAGAAAAGUUCCAAAAUAUUUACGUAUAUAAUAUUAAUUAAGCCUUUUAUGGCCAGUAUGUUCACAUAGUACCUGCACCGUUUUUUUUU